rnacentral:rRNA from 1 species
UACGUAGGGGGCAAGCGUUGUCCGGAUUUAUUGGGCGUAAAGAGCGUGUAGGCGGCCUGGAAGGUCAGCUGUGAAAACUCGAGGCUCAACCUCGAGACGUCGGUUGAAACCACCUGGCUAGAGUCCGGAAGAGGAGAGUGGAAUUCCCGGUGUAGCGGUGAAAUGCGCAGAUAUCGGGAAGAACACCCGUGACGAAGGCGGCUCUCUGGGACGGUACUGACGCUGAGACGCGAAAGCGUGGGGAGCGAACAGG